UAAUAACUAUUACUUUUACAUUUUGAGCUCGGAAAACAGAUAGCUACUUUUUAGGUACAAACGACAAUGAAAACGGAGAUAAAAUUAUGUGUAUGCGUUGUCCUCGCGGCAGUAUGCAUUGCCGGCGUAAGAUCAGCUGGUAAUUAUGGCAGAGGAAGUUAUGGAAGAGGUGUUUAUGGACGAACUGCAUCAUACGGCGGCGGUGGAUCCAGCAGAGGAUACGGCGGCGGCAGUGGAUACGGCAGAAGUGGAUACGGCGGAACUGGAUACAGCAGUUACGGAAAAGGUACUGCUGGACGUGGGAGUGGUACAUUGUAUUACCCUUAUUACUACCCUGUUCCCUACUAUGUACGUGGUGGCAGAAGACGAGGAGGAAAUGUAAGAGUUACUCCAGCCAUAAUUGCAAGAACAGGAGGACGACGUAGAGGAGGAGCCGGAAGAGGUUUUCUUGGAGGAAGUGGAUUCGGAGGCAUUUUUAGUUUGAUCAUCACGCUUUUCUUUCUUCAGUUUAUUCUAGGACUCAUAGGAUAGACAGCAUAAUCCAGCCGGAAAUAAAUCUAAGGGAAGUAAUCAUGGUAAUGAUAUAUCAGCACACAAAGCAGUCGUUGGGUACACACCAUAUAAUACUGAUACAAUUUUGUAAAUAAAAAAGCAGACCAGAA